GACGAACGCUGGCGGCGUGCUUAACACAUGCAAGUCGAACGGAAAGGCCCUGCUUUUGUGGGGUGCUCGAGUGGCGAACGGGUGAGUAACACGUGAGUAACCUGCCCUUGACUUUGGGAUAACUUCAGGAAACUGGGGCUAAUACCGGAUAGGAGCUCCUGCUGCAUGGUGGGGGUUGGAAAGUUUCGGCGGUUGGGGAUGGACUCGCGGCUUAUCAGCUUGUUGGUGGGGUAGUGGCUUACCAAGGCUUUGACGGGUAGCCGGCCUGAGAGGGUGACCGGCCACAUUGGGACUGAGAUACGGCCCAGACUCCUACGGGAGGCAGCGGUGGGGAGUAUUGCACAAUGGGCGGAAGCCUGAUGCAGCAACGCCGCGUGCGGGAUGACGGCCUUCGGGUUGUAAACCGCUUUCGCCUGUGACGAAGCGUGAGUGACGGUAAUGGGUAAAGAAGCACCGGCUAACUACGUG
rnacentral:rRNA from 1 species